AAGUCGUAACAAGGUUUCCGUAGGUGAACCUGCGGAAGGAUCAUUAACGAGUUGGAACGUGGAGGUUGAUGCUGGUGCUAUAUAAUGUACAUGUGCUCGCCUUCGCACUCUUCAUCCACUCAACCCCUGUGCACUUUAUCAGAGUUAGUAUUAGUUGUAGUGGCCAUUUUGUUAUUCAUUGUUAGAAUGGAGGGCAACCCCUUCCACGACAGCAGUCAUGAUAAUAAUGAUGGUUUCUACUAUUACUAUGAACACUUUGAACUUUACUUAUAUAAACACUUUUCUUGUUCUUGUGAAUGUGUAAUGCUCCCUGUGAGCAAAAUAUAAAUCUAUACAACUUUCAACAACGGAUCUCUUGGCUCUC
rnacentral:misc_RNA from 1 species